rnacentral:rRNA from 1 species
GACGAACCGUGCGAACGUUGUUCGGACUCACUGGGCUUAAAGGGUGCGUCGGCGGGUUGUCCAGUCUGGGGUGAAAUCCCACGGCUCAACCGUGGAAUUGCCUCAGAUACUGACGACCUCGAGGGAGGUAGGGGCGAGCGGAACUGUGGGUGGAGCGGUGAAAUGCGUUGAUAUCCACAGGAACUCCGGUGGCGAAGGCGGCUCGCUGGACCUCUUCUGACGCUGAGGCACGAAAGCUAGGGGAGCAAAUGGG